rnacentral:rRNA from 1 species
AGAGUUUGAUCCUGGCUCAGAUUGAACGCUGGCGGCAUGCUUUACACAUGCAAGUCGAACGGGGUUAAGGGGCUUGCUCCUUAAUCUAGUGGCGAACGGGUGAGUAAUGCAUCGGAACGUACCCGGGAGUGGGGGAUAACGCACCGAAAGGUGUGCUAAUACCGCAUAUUCUGUGAGCAGGAAAGCAGGGGACCUUAGGGCCUUGUGCUUCCGGAGCGGCCGAUGUCGGAUUAGCUAGUUGGUGAGGUAAAGGCUCACCAAGGCGACGAUCCGUAGCGGGUCUGAGAGGAUGAUCCGCCACACUGGGACUGAGACACGGCCCAGACUCCUACGGGAGGCAGCAGUGGGGAAUUUUGGACAAUGGGCGCAAGCCUGAUCCAGCCAUGCCGCGUGUCUGAAGAAGGCCUUCGGGUUGUAAAGGACUUUUGUCCGGGAGC